rnacentral:rRNA from 1 species
GACGUAGGGCGCGAGCGUUGUCCGGAUUUAUUGGGCGUAAAGAGCUCGUAGGCGGCUCGGUAAGUCGGGUGUGAAACCUCCAGGCUCAACCUGGAGACGCCACUCGAUACUGCCGUGGCUAGAGUCCGGUAGAGGAGCGUAGAAUUCCUGGUGUAGCGGUGAAAUGCGCAGAUAUCAGGAGGAAUACCAGCGGCGAAGGCGGCGCUCUGGGCCGGUACUGACGCUGAGGAGCGAAAGCGUGGGGAGCAAACAGG